GAUGAACGCUGGCGGCGUGCCUAAUACAUGCAAGUCGAGCGAACGGACGAGAAGCUUGCUUCUCUGAUGUUAGCGGCGGACGGGUGAGUAACACGUGGAUAACCUACCUAUAAGACUGGGAUAAAUUCGGGAAACCGGAGCUAAUACCGGAUAAUAUUUUGAACCGCAUGGUUCAAAAGUGAAAGACGGUCUUGCUGUCACUUAUAGAUGGAUCCGCGCUGCAUUAGCUAGUUGGUAAGGUAACGGCUUACCAAGGCAACGAUGCAUAGCCGACCUGAGAGGGUGAUCGGCCACACUGGAACUGAGACACGGUCCAGACUCCUACGGGAGGCAGCAGUAGGGAAUCUUCCGCAAAGGGCGAAAGCCUGACGGAGCAACGCCGCGUGAGUGAUGAAGGUCUUCGGAUCGUAAAACUCUGUUAUUAGGGAAGAACAUAUGUGUAAGUAACUGUGCACAUCUUGACGGUACCUAAUCAGAAAGCCACGGCUAACUACGUG
rnacentral:rRNA from 1 species